UACGAAGGGGGCUAGCGUUGUUCGGAAUCACUGGGCGUAAAGCGCACGCAGGCGGAUCGUUAAGUCAGGGGUGAAAUCCCGAGGCUCAACCUCGGAACUGCCUUUGAUACUGGCGAUCUUCGAGUCCGGGAGAGGUGAGUGGAACUCCGAGUGUAGAGGUGAAAUUCGUAGAUAUUCGGGAAGAACACCAGUGGCGAGGCGGCUCACUGGCCCGGUACUGACGCUCCUGUGCGGAAAG
rnacentral:rRNA from 1 species